GGUGGCUCAGUGGCAGAGCGCUUGCCUUGCAUGCAUGAGGCCUUGGGUUCGAUUCCUCAGCACCA
rfam:Dipodomys ordii contig_10073, whole genome shotgun sequence.